rnacentral:lncRNA from 1 species
CUUUCUUUUUUUUCUAUCUCUUUCUCCCCCCAUCCCCAACCCCACCCUUUCUUAGCUAAAACUGUGACCACGGGAUGGAGAGUGGUGGCUUAUUCAUUCUUCUCUUUAAUUCAGAAUUUCCGAUUCGGUGCCACUGUGUUUGAUGCAGCCCUCAGUAGCCUUCCAGUUGCUGCUGUCUCCAGACCCCUGGCUGCAGAUCAGCAGCUUCACUCUCCCCCUUGAUCAUGCCCUCUGGAGUCUAUCCAAGGCCUUCCCCAGUCUUUCUCAUGACCAUACUGACCUCACCCCAUUGCAGUCACAUAGCAUGACUGGCUCUGGCCUCUGCUUUAUUGUAGUUGGAAAAUUUAGAGAUUGCCACAAAUUUCUGAUAUCUUGCAGAAUGAUUUCCAGUCAGUGGUUUCCAACUUUUUUCAUGCUCUCUAUGUCCUCUGUUAGCUCAGAAAGGACAAAAAAAAAACCAAAACAAAAUCUUUCAAGUAUGUCUCUUUUUGCCUCCAUGGUCAACACUAAUGGUUUCCAGCCAGUGCAGGUUGGAGGGCACAAUGUGAGUAGAACCAGCAACUUGGUUCUACUCUGUGCAACUUCAAGUAUGCACUUGAGAAUUUAUCAUUGUAGAUCCUCUUUAAGCUUUGCUGCAGCCUGUCAACCAGAGUGCCCAUGUUACCAUGGUAACGGGUAGGAUACUAGCCCUAAACUUAUUCAUCACAUUACCAAAAAUCUAUCAAACUGCAUGAUAUUUAAGCAUUUGAGUUUUGACUGGGUGUUGUGUCGCGUGCUUGUAUUUCCAGUCACUUAGGAGGCUGAGGCAGGAGGAUCACAAAUUUAAGGCCAGCCUCAGCAAUUUAGUGAGGCCCUAAGAAGCUUUAGUGAGCUCAAAAUAAAAAUAAAAAGGACUGGGAAUCUAACUCCAUGGUAGAACACUCCUGGAUUCAAUCCCCAAUACCACAAAGAAAAAUAAAAAGAACAUAAUCUUUGGAUACAGACCUUGAUUUAAAAGCGUGUUACCUAGGGAAGGUUGCUUAAACUUUUUAACCAUAUGGUUUUUACUCUGUAAAAUGCAGAUAAGAAUGAAUAACUUCCUUCUAGAAUUAUUGGGAGGAUGAAAUGAAAAUAAUAAAUGUGAAAUGCUCAACAGAGUAUCUGACACAUAUUAAAUGGGGCCAAUAAAUGAUACUUAACAUAAAUAAGUGCAUAAGGGAAAUAAUUCUCUUUGUUUUGUUUUAGCAGCCAAGC